GUGGGGAAUAUUGCGCAAUGGGGGAAACCCUGACGCAGCAACGCCGCGUGAAGGAUGAAGGUUUUCGGAUUGUAAACUUCUUUGAUGGGGGACGAAUAAAUGACGGUACCCCAAAAACAAGCCACGGCUAACUACGUGCCAGCAGCCGCGGUAAUACGUAGGUGGCGAGCGUUGUCCGGAAUUACUGGGUGUAAAGGGCGUGUAGGCGGGAUUGUAAGUCAGAUGUGAAAUUCCAGAGCUUAACUCUGGCGCUGCAUCUGAAACUGCGAUUCUUGAGUGCUGGAGAGGAUAGUGGAAUUCCUAGUGUAGCGGUGAAAUGCGUAGAUAUUAGGAGGAACACCAGUGGCGAAGGCGACUAUCUGGACAGUAACUGACGCUGAGGCGCGAAAGCGUGGGGAUCAAACAGGAUUAGAAACCCUAGUAGUCC
rnacentral:rRNA from 1 species